rnacentral:rRNA from 1 species
CUUUUUAAGCUAUUUAAAAUAGGGCCUGCUCUAUGCAUUUAGUAAAUGGCCGCAGUAUUUUGACUGUGCUAAGGUAGCAUAAUCAAUAGUCUUUUUAUUGAAGGCUGGAAUGAAUGGUCGGACGAGAGAAUAACUGUCUCUUUUGAAAAAAUUGAAUUUUAUUUUUAAGUGAAAAAGCUUAAAUUAUUUUGAGGGACGAUCAGACCCUAUGGAGUUUUUGGUUGGGGCGACAGAGAGAAUAUUAAUAACACUCUUUUAAUUAAACAUUUGUUAAUGAACAAUUGAUCCCUUUAGGAGGAAUAAAAGAUUUAAUUACCCUAGGGAUAACAGCGUAAUUUUUUUGGAGAGUUCAAAUCGAUAAAAAAGUUUGCGACCUCGAUGUUGGAUUAAGAAAUUGGCAAGGUGUAGAAGUUUUGCAAAAUAGUCUGUUCGACUAAUAAUUUCUUACA